GUACAAAUAGAUCCAAUGGUUUUUCAGAGGUAGUUUAUGUGAUUUAGUCUCAUAUGAAGGCUCAUAGUGGGUUGAAGGUGGAUGGUGUUCACAUGUGAUUGUUCUGAUUUUAUUUCUUAGUUUGGAUUCACUGAAAUCAUUUGGACCUCCAGUCGGAGUGAACUACAACACUGACGUCUGUGAGGUUUUGCUGUGAAAGCCCAAAACUCUGGAUAGCAAGAAGCAGACGGCCGAGUUUAUUAAACUCCACCGAGACAGCGGUGACGCUAAUCAGAAGGCUAG
ensembl:lncRNA